rnacentral:rRNA from 1 species
GGGAUGCGUUCCAUUAGAUAGUUGGCGGGGUAACGGCCCACCAAGUCGACGAUGGAUAGGGGUUCUGAGAGGAAGGUCCCCCACAUUGGUACUGAGACACGGACCAAACUCCUACGGGAGGCAGCAGUGAGGAAUAUUGGUCAAUGGCCGAGAGGCUGAACCAGCCAAGUCGCGUGAGGGAUGAAGGUUCUAUGGAUCGUAAACCUCUUUUAUAAGGGAAUAAAGUGCGGGACGUGUCCCGUUUUGUAUGUACCUUAUGAAUAAGGAUCGGCUAACUCCGUGCCAGCAGCCGCGGUAAUACGGAGGAUCCGAGCGUUAUCCGGAUUUAUUGGGUUUAAAGGGUGCGUAGGCGGCCUUUUAAGUCAGCGGUGAAAGUCUGUGGCUCAACCAUAGAAUUGCCGUUGAAACUGGGGGGCUUGAGUAUGUUUGAGGCAGGCGGAAUGCGUGGUGUAGCGGUGAAAUGCAUAGAUAUCACGCAGAACCCCGAUUGCGAAGGCAGCCUGCCAAGCCAUUACUGACGCUGAUGCACGAAAGCGUGGGGAUCAAACAGGAUUAGAUACCCUGGUAGUCCACGCAGUAAACGAUGAUCACUAGCUGUUUGCGAUACACUGUAAGCGGCACAGCGAAAGCGUUAAGUGAUCCACCUGGGGAGUACGCCGGCAACGGUGAAACUCAAAGGAAUUGACGGGGGCCCGCACAAGCGGAGGAACAUGUGGUUUAAUU